rnacentral:rRNA from 1 species
UACGUAUGGUGCAAGCGUUAUCCGGAUUUACUGGGUGUAAAGGGAGCGCAGGCGGUUCUACAAGUCUGAUGUGAAAGCCCGGGGCUCAACCGCGGGACUGCAUUGGAAACUGCGGGACUGGAGUGUCGGAGGGGUAAGCGGAAUUCCUGGUGUAGCGGUGAAAUGCGUAGAUAUCAGGAGGAACACCGGUGGCGAAGGCGGCUUACUGGACGAUGACUGACGCUGAGGCUCGAAAGCGUGGGGAGCAAACAGG